rnacentral:ncRNA from 1 species
AAUGAUAGCUGGUUGUCCAAAAAAUGAAUUUAAGUUCAACUUUAAAUUUAAUUCAAGUACCCAUAAACAUCAUUUAAAUUUAAAUGUUACUCAAAAGAGGGACAACUCUUUUGAUAUGUAGACAAACUUUCAUAGAGGAUAAUGAAAUCAACACAAAACAUUGUAGGCCUAAAAGCAGCCAUCAAUUAAGAAAGCGUUAAAGCUCAAACUUAUCCAAUACUUAAUUCCCAUAUUUAAUCAAAAUCCCUUAUUUUAUAUUGGACAAUUCUAUUCUUAUUUAGAAGAUAUAAUGCUAAUAUGAGUAACCUGAAUGUAUUCUCCUUGCACAAGCAUAUAUACGACCGGAACAACCGCUUACACUUAACCAAACAAAUAAUCAUAACUACAUACUAGUACCUUAUUAUAUACUUUGUUAACCCAACCCAGGUGUGCAUAUAAAGGAAAGAUUAAAAGGAGUAAAAGGAACUCGGCAAAUACGAACCCCGCCUGUUUACCAAAAACAUCACCUCUAGCACUUACCAGUAUUAGAGGCAUUGCCUGCCCAGUGAGUCACGACUUUAACGGCCGCGGUAUCCUGACCGUGCAAAGGUAGCAUAAUCACUUGUCUCUUAAUUGGGGACUAGUAUGAAUGGCACCACGAGGGUUCAACUGUCUCUUACUCCCAAUCAGUGAAAUUGACCUUCCCGUGCAGAGCGGGGAUAAUUAUACAAGACGAGAAGACCCUGUGGAGCUUAAGUCGUAUAACUCAACAAAUACUAAUAUUUAACCUAUUGGAAUAACAUGUAUAAUCUAUGAGUUAUAGUCUUUGGUUGGGGUGACCUCGGAGCAUAAAAGAACCUCCGAAUGAAUAAAACCAAGAUUAACAAAUCUAAGUGUAAUAUUACCAGUAAUUGACCCAUAUUUUGAUCAACGGAACAAGUUACCCCAGGGAUAACAGCGCAAUCCUAUUUGAGAGCCCAUAUCGAAAACAGGGUUUACGACCUCGAUGUUGGAUCAGGACAUCCAAAUGGUGCAACCGCUAUUAAAGGUUCGUUUGUUCAACGAUUAAAGUCCUACGUGAUCUGAGUUCAGACCGGAGAAAUCCAGGUCGGUUUCUAUCUGUAAAUUCAUUUCUCCCAGUACGAAAGGACAAGAGAAAUAGGGCCAAUAUCCAUAAUAAGCCCUAGAAUUAAUAUAUGAAUUUAUCUAAAUAUACUAAAUCAACCCAUAUACCCCCAAGAACAGGGCUAUUAAGAUGGCAGAGCCGG